rnacentral:rRNA from 1 species
AUUGAACGCUGGCGGCAUGCCUUACACAUGCAAGUCGAACGGCAGCAUAGGAGCUUGCUCCUGAUGGCGAGUGGCGAACGGGUGAGUAAUAUAUCGGAACGUGCCCUAGAGUGGGGGAUAACUAGUCGAAAGACUAGCUAAUACCGCAUACGAUCUACGGAUGAAAGUGGGGGAUCGCAAGACCUCAUGCUCCUGGAGCGGCCGAUAUCUGAUUAGCUAGUUGGUGGGGUAAAAGCCUACCAAGGCGACGAUCAGUAGCUGGUCUGAGAGGACGACCAGCCACACUGGGACUGAGACACGGCCCAGACUCCUACGGGAGGCAGCAGUGGGGAAUUUUGGACAAUGGGGGCAACCCUGAUCCAGCAAUGCCGCGUGAGUGAAGAAGGCCUUCGGGUUGUAAAGCUCUUUUGUCAGGGAAGAAACGGUAGUAGCUAAUAUCUAUUACUAAUGACGGUACCUGAAGAAUAAGCACCGGCUAACUACGUGCCAGCAGCCGCGGUAA